AGAGGAUGUGCAAGAGACAGGUCCUGUUCUCAGUCUGAGAAGUUUUAAAUUUAUAGUUUCCACCACAGUAGGCAGUUUCCUCCUGGAAAGGGACAGUUAUUCUAACACUUCACUGGGUUGCCCAGAAAAGAAAGGGUUGCUGUUCGAAGUUGAGCAAUAGGAUGCACUGACUUUUUAGGUUCACCGCUAACUGAACGCAACUAUAGAGUCAAAAAGAGAGGCUGAGAGGCUGAGGAAAGACUGAAAGAGAGCUCUUAGUCCAGCUGGAGUCAAUGAAGAGAGAGAGUCAUUGCCAGAGAGUGAUAAAGGGUGCAGCCACCUUCACCCGCAGCUAACUCAAACUGUGUUGAAAUGGGGAUUGAUGCCGUGAUGGAAACAAUCAAGUGGAGCGGCUCACACUGCAGCCGAUUUCAAAGGCAUUCCUUUUCCAGGCCAUCAGCCGCUGCAGCCACACGGGAAGCGUUUCCUGAUUUUACCACUACUGAGCAGCAGCCUGAUGGUGUUUAUGUAUUCAGGACCCCACCGGUGAGGAGACCUGCUGCCCCAGCACACCAGAAGCGCCAUCAGGAGGAACUGGUACAAUUGACAAUGGAGCUGUUCACAGCACUGGGGCUGUGAGUCCAUCAAGCAUCCUCUCUAUUAUGUUUAUUGCUCAUUACUCAGUUUUAAAGAGGCCCUUUUUUAUCCCGGAGAAUUUAACUGAAAUAUUGGCUUUUCUGAUAUUUUUCUUGCUCAGCAAAAAUAACAUCAGGUUUGAAUGACAUCAGCGGGUCCAAGAGUUCGCUGGUGAUGUUGAUGUUAGAACGGUGCUACUUAUAACAGCUUAUAAACUGCUACACCACAGACUGACAAACAUUUACCCCUUCUUACACUAACAGAAGCUGCCAUGUCAUUCUGUGUCCCAUUUUUAGCUCUGUUCAGAGCCCCUCAUCUUAUACUUUGAUUGCAUAUUAUCUGAGUCUGAAAACAUAUACUUUUUGUUUGUGGUUUCCAGCUGAGAUAGUAGCACUGCAAGUAAGUUUACCUCAAAACUUCAGCCUGACAUCGUAGCUCUAGCGCUAAGCCAGAGAUGUUCCAAACUUUUCCACGGCAAAUGGAUGUCAAACACAAAUGGGAUUUAGUUGAUCCUGUGAGAAAG
ensembl:lncRNA